GCGAAGGCAAGGAGGCCGUGGAUGCUCUGCGCCUGCGCCAGCGCCUGCCUGCAAACUCUGCGCUAAACCAACUGCCCGCUUGCUUUUUUGAUUCUCUCCAGAGCGAAGGAAAGGUGAGGCGAUCAACCUGCAUUUCCCCUCCCCUCCCUUCCCUCCCCUCCAUUUACUCGCCUCUCCGUCCGGUUUUAUCAUCCGCAUCAACACACGCUCCAGAAACCCCGACGCCCGCAGCCGCAGCAUCUCCCUCCCCUCUCUGGUUUCGUCGCCAUCCAACCGAACCCCCCCAGCCCGCAGCCGCAGCACUAGGCAAUCUUUUGCUAUGGGGAAAGCUAAGGGUCGAAAGGGUGGUGGCGCUGUGGGAGGACGGACAAUGAAGAAGAACGCUUUCACCGAGUCGCUCCGAAAGACCAAGUUGUUUGAAGAUGGGAGGCUUCCGAACCAGUGCCCUUGCCCAAAGGUCACCAGUGCCCACCAGGCGACAUCCAGGAGGCACCAGCUCAUGCUGCACCGGCUCAAGGCCCGUCAGUUCCACCGCAGGCGAAUGUGGCCCCUGCCCAUGGGUGAUUUUACCUUAGUGAUACACCAAUAUUAGUUAUUUGCAAGCUGCCUGGACCCUGCAUUUGGGUGAUUUAUCUUAAAUGAUACUACACUAGUACUAUUAGUUAUUUGCAAGCUCCAGCAAGACCCAUCAGCUAUCAUGAUGUAGUAUACUAGUAUGUCAGCGUUGAUAUCUACCCCCUGUUAGAAUUUGGUUGUUCUGCUAUGGCUACUUCAGUUAAUGAAAGUAGUUAAUCUA